rnacentral:rRNA from 14 species
GGUACGCGAGCUGGGUUUAGAACGUCGUGAGACAGUUCGGUCUCUAUCCGCCGCGCGCGUUGAAACUUGAAGAAAGCUGUCCCUAGUACGAGAGGACCGGGAUGGACAUACCUCUGGUGUACCAGUUGUCGUGCCAACGGCAUAGCUGGGUAGCUAUGUAUGGACGGGAUAAGUGCUGAAAGCAUCUAAGCAUGAAGCCCCCCUCAAGAUGAGAUUUCCCAACUUCGGUUAUAAGAUCCCUCGAAGAUGACGAGGUUGAUAGGUCCG